rnacentral:hammerhead_ribozyme from 1 species
AUCCAGCUGAAGAGUCCCGAAUAGGACGAAAUGCGCAUCCUGGAU